AGUGUGAAUUUUCUGGACAGAGGUGUUUGGUGAUGCUGAUAUCUUUGCAGGUGAACAAAGGUCCACAUUUUUAGGGUCUUUGCUGCCUGUCUUCCUGUAUUGUUGUGA